rnacentral:rRNA from 1 species
AUUGAACGCUGGCGGCAUGCCUUACACAUGCAAGUCGAGCGGUAGAGAGGUGCUUGCAUCUCUUGAGAGCGGCGGACGGGUGAGUAAUGCCUAGGAAUCUGCCUAGUGGUGGGGGAUAACGUUCGGAAACGGACGCUAAUACCGCAUACGUCCUACGGGAGAAAGCGGGGGAUCUUCGGACCUCGCGCCAUUAGAUGAGCCUAGGUCGGAUUAGCUAGUUGGUGAGGUAAUGGCUCACCAAGGCGACGAUCGGUAGCUGGUCUGAGAGGAUGACCAGCCACACUGGAACUGAGACACGGUCCAGACUCCUACGGGAGGCAGCAGUGGGGAAUAUUGGGACAAUGGGGGGAACCCUGAUCCAGCAAUGCCGCGUGUGUGAAGAAGGCCUGAGGGUUGUAAAGCACUUUCAGUGGGGAGGAGGGUUGAUAGGUUAAGAGCUAAUUAACUGGACGUUACCUAUAGAAGAAGCACCGGCUAACUCCGUGCCAGCA